AAACCAUGGUUAGGGGACCUCACCAAAUAUAAUUUGAAAUGAUCUCAUGCCUCAUGUAUAUGUUCUCCUGGUACUUGCUUGAAAAAAAAGAUUUUAUCCCGGAGCUU
rnacentral:snoRNA from 1 species